rnacentral:rRNA from 1 species
UACGAAGGGGGCUAGCGUUGUUCGGAAUUACUGGGCGUAAAGCGCACGUAGGCGGAUAUUUAAGUCAGGGGUGAAAUCCUGGAGCUCAACUCCAGAACUGCCUUUGAUACUGAGAAGCUCGAGUCCGGGAGAGGUGAGUGGAACUGCGAGUGUAGAGGUGAAAUUCGUAGAUAUUCGCAAGAACACCAGUGGCGAAGGCGGCUCACUGGCCCGGUACUGACGCUGAGACGCGAAAGCGUGGGGAGCGAACAGG